rnacentral:misc_RNA from 1 species
GUAGGUGAACCUGCGGAAGGAUCAUUAACACGUUUAUGUUCCAAACGUUUUUUGAACCCCUUUCUUUCUGUGAACCAAAACCAAAAAACCCGGCCGUUCUUGUGCGCAUUCGUGUGUGCAGGAAAGCGUUGUGGAAGGUGUGUGUUUCGCAAGAAAUCGCCCCUCUCCGACGUCAGGUCGACCUCACCCAACCUUAAAUCUAAUUGUUCUGAACUCUCUAGUUGAUGAGGUAACACUUGUCAACGAAUUAAAAAACAAACAACAACUCUUAACAACGGAUAUCUUGGUUCUC